CCUACGGGAGGCAGCAGUGGGGAAUAUUGCGCAAUGGGCGAAAGCCUGACGCAGCGACGCCGCGUGAGGGAUGAAGGUCUUCGGAUCGGAAACCUCUGUCAGUAGGGAAGAACGGUCACUGUGCUAAUCAGCAGUGAAUUGACGGUACCUGCAAAGGUAGCACCGGCUAACGCCGUGCGAGCAGCAGCGGCAAUACGGAGGGUGCGAGCGUUAAUCGGAUUUACUGGGCGUAAAGUGCGCGUAGGCGGUAUGUCAAGUCAAGGGUGAAAUCCCCGCGCUCAACGUGGGAACUGCCUUUGAAACUGGCAGACUGGAGUGUGUGAGAGGAUGGGGGAAUUCCAGGUGUAGGAGUGAAAGGCGUAGAUAUC
rnacentral:rRNA from 1 species